rnacentral:lncRNA from 1 species
GAAUACAUCAGAAAACGCUGCCGCGAUUUGCAGCACAAAAACUCUGUGUUCCAGUGUUCGUGUGUGUUCUUGUUCCCUCACCUCUGCUCGUGUCCUCGCCGCCGGUGUGCACCGACGUCCGGUGACUGACAAGUGGCAUCAGAGCUAGGAUCGAUCGAGCUCCGCGACGAUCAUGUCGUCACCGCCGCCGAAGAGCACAAAGGAGAAGGGCGACGGUUCCAGCGGCAAGUCCCCGACGCGCUCACGCUCCCCACGGCGUCGCUCCCCGCGGCGUCGCUCUCGUCGCGGUGACCACAGCCGCUCAGUGACCCGCGACGCACGCCGUCCGUGGGAGAUCGUCGUCGAGCGCAUCGUCCGCGAGGGGGGCAGCGUUGGCAACUGGCCGCAGCUGACACGGACCAACUACCAUGAGUGGUCACUCCGCAUGAAGUUGAAGCUGCAGGCGCGCCACCUCUGGGACGCCAUCGAGUUCGACGACGUCGAGUUCGACGACGACCGCAGCGCCCUCGACGCCAUCUGCAGCGCUGUCCCCGGCGACAUGGUGCCCGCGCUCGCCACGAAGGAGACGGCCAAGGAGGCUUGGGAGACCAUCAGGACGCUCCGCAUCGGGGACGAACGCGUGCGGACGGCCACGGCGCAGUCCCUCCGCGCCGAGUACGAGAACAUCGCGCUCCGUGAAGGCGAGGCCAUCGAGGACUUCUCCCUGCGCCUCACCGGGAUCGUGCAGCGCCUUGCGACACUCGGCGACCCCGAGCCCGAGGCCAAAGUGGUGGCCAAAUACCUCCGCGUCGCCCGCGCACGCUACAAGCAGCUGGUAAUUUCAAUUGAGACCUUGCUUGACAUCUCUCAGCUAUCCAUUGAGGAGGUCACGGGAAGGCUCAAGGCGGCCGACGACGUCGAGCCUACACCAGCGCACACUGCGGGCGGUAAGCUGCUCCUUACGGAGGAGCAGUGGAUCGAGAGGUACAAGAAGAAGGACCAAGAGUCCAGUCGCGGCGGCUCCACCUCCGGCGGCCGUGGCAAGCAGCGCGGCAGAGGCCGCGGUCGUGGCUCCGGCGGCUCCAGUCGAGGACCUCCACCAGAUGAGCCUUGCCCGCGCUGUGGCAAGAAGGGGCAUUGGGCCCGCGACUGCCGCAGCAAGAAGAAGGAGGAGCCCGCUCAGCAGGCCCAUGUGGCCCAAGAGGAAGAGGCCACCCUGAUGCUAGCCAUCGGUGCGGCCCAGGAGGAGUCCCUCGUCUCCACUCCGCCGCCCUCGCCACGCUCCACCGAGCCGCCGCCGCCGCAAUCCGUGGCGCUCCCCGAGCUCCACGUCGUGGAGAAGAAGGUCCACGCCGAGCUCAGCGACGAGGCGGACCGGGACCCGUCGCGCUGGAUCCUGGACACUGGCGCAUCGAAUCAUAUGUCCGGAUCCCGCGCCGCCUUCGCCGACAUCGACACCGGCGUCACCGGCUCCGUCCGAUUCGGGGAUGGCUCCGUCGCGCGCAUCGAGGGCAUCGGCACGGUGCUCUUCCAAUGCAAGAACGGGGAGCAUCGCGCGCUCGCCAACGUCUACUUCCUCCCGCGCCUUACCGCCAACAUCAUCUCCGUCGGACAGCUGGAUGAAGGCGGGUACCAGGUGCUGGUGGAACACGGCGUGAUGCGGGUGCGUGACGAAGACCGGCGACUCCUCGCCAAGAUCCCACGGAGUCCCGGGCGGCUGUACACCCUCGACGUCACCAUCGCGCGCCCUGUGUGCUUGGCGGCACGCACUGACGACGACGCCUGGCGAUGGCACGCGCGGUUCGGCCACAUCCACUUCGCCGCGCUGCGCAAGAUGGGACGCGAGGAGCUCGUCCGCGGCCUGCCAGUCAUCGACCAAGUCCAGCAGGUCUGUGAGGCCUGCCUCGCCGGCAAGCAGAAGAGGGCGCCGUUUCCCCAGAAGAUGCUCAGGCGUUCCACGGAGCCGCUCCAGCUCCUCCAUGGAGACAUCUGCGGUCCAAUCACGCCGGCGACACCGAGUGGUAACAGAUACUUCCUACUGCUGGUCGAUGAUUAUUCACGUUUUAUGUGGAUCUCCCUGCUGCCGACCAAGGAUGCCGCGGCCAACGCCAUCAAGAACAUCCAGGCCGCGGCGGAACGCAAGAGUGGCAAGAAGGUGGUGACGCUGCGCACAGACCGUGGUGGAGAAUUCGCCGCCGCUGACUUCGUCGACUACUGCGCUCAACUCGGCGUCCACAGGCAACUCACGGCGCCGUACACACCUCAACAAAACGGCGUCGUGGAGCGGCGCAAUCAGACCGUCGUGGGCACGGCCAGAAGCAUGAUGAAGGCCAAGGCUCUCCCUGGGGUGUUCUGGGGGGAGGCUGUGACGACGACAGUCUACCUGCUGAACAGGUCUUCGUCCAAGGCGAUCGGCGGCAAGACUCCUUACCAGCUUUGGAACGGGAGCACGCCGUCGGUCCAGCACCUCAGGACGUUCGGCUGCAUCGCCCACGUGAAAGUGAACACGCCUCACCUCAAGAAGCUAGAGGACCGCAGCCGGCGCAUGGUGUUUGUCGGCUACGAACCGGGGUCCAAGGCUUAUCGAGCCUACGAUCCCUCGACGCGCCGAGUCCACAUCAGCCGCGAUGUGGUGUUCGAUGAGGCGGCGCAGUGGGCGUGGUCAGCAACGGACCACAACGAGCCUGGAGACUUCAACAUUGAAGAGUCGACGCCGCAGGAGCUCCCUGUGAUCACCACCACCAGAACGACUACGGCUUAUGCUCCUGCAUCGAGCUCCGCUUCACCGACUCCCUCAAGCGUGCACGCGUCUCCUGUCGGCCCCGACCCAGCAUCGCCGUCAAGCCUCGCGACACAGCCCCAGGUCCAGUUCGCAUCUCCACCGGUAUCCGGGGCUGACGAGCAUCUCGACGCCGAUCACGACGACGACGCACCCCUGCGUUUUCGGCGCCUCGACAACGUGCUUGGACAGGCUGACACGCCUGGUCUUGCACACCGCGAGCUGGAGGAACGCUUGCUGUUGGCCAGUGACGCUGAGCCGACAUCCUUCGAGGAGGCGAUGCGCCACGAGUGCUGGCGCCUUGCAAUGCUUGACGAAAUGACCUCCAUCGAGGCCAGCGGUACAUGGAACCUGGUGGAGCUGCCGGCGCGUGCAAAGCCCAUCGGCCUCAAGUGGGUGUACAAGGUCAAAAAGGACGCCUCCGGCAUCGUCACCAAGCACAAGGCUCGCCUCGUCGCCAAGGGGUACGUGCAGCGGCAGGGCAUCGACUAUGACGAAGUCUUCGCCCCUGUUGCUCGGCUGGAGUCUGUUCGGCUCCUGCUAGCUCACGCCGCCUGUCAAGGCUGGGCUGUCCAUCACAUGGACGUGAAGUCCGCGUUCUUGAACGGCGUGCUCCAGGAGGAGGUGUACGUCGCACAGCCCCCCGGCUUCGUUCUGCGUGGGCAAGAGAACAAGGUCCUGCGCCUCAUCAAGGCCCUGUACGGGCUACGCCAAGCGCCGAGGGCGUGGUACGCCAAGCUCGACAAGUCCCUCAUCGGACUUGGGUUUCGGAGGAGCCCCUCUGAGCACGCCGUCUAUCUGCGCGGAGCCGGUGCACGCCGGCUGGUGGUGGGGGUCUAUGUCGAUGACCUCAUCAUCGCCGGCGGCAACCAGGUCGACAUCGACACCUUCAAGGGACAGAUGAAAGCCACUUUCAAGAUGAGCGACUUGGGCCUGCUCCACUACUACCUUGGUCUGGAGGUGUCUCAGACUGAGGCUGGCAUCACCAUCUGCCAGAGUUCUUACGCUGCCAAGAUCCUAGAGACAGCAGGCCUGACAGGGUGCAAUCCCAGCGCAACGCCGAUGGAGCCUCGCCUGAAGUUGAGCAAGGUGAGCUCAGCCCCAGCCAUCGACUCAUCCAUGUAUCGCAGUGUGGUGGGCUCGCUGCGGUAUUUGGUGAACUCAAGACCGGACUUGACGUACUCGGUGGGCUACAUCAGCCGAUUCAUGGAGAAUCCGACCACCGAACACCUGGCAGCCAUGAAGCGAGUGCUGCGAUACGUUGCGGGCACUCUGCACUUCGGCUGCUGCUACAAGAGGAAGAAGAAUCCCCAGCUGGUCGGCUACAGCGACAGUGACAUGGCUGGGGACAUUGACACGCGCAAGAGUACCUCAGGUAUCCUCUUCUUCCUCGGCGACAACACCAUCACCUGGCAGUCACAGAAGCAGAAGAUUGUGGCACUGUCCUCCUGCGAAGCGGAGUACAUUGCAGCGACGACAGCAGCUUGCCAGGGGGUAUGGCUGGCGCGGCUGCUUGCUGAACUCAAGAGCGAGCAGGCUGACGCCGUCACUUUGAGGAUCGACAACGAGUCCGCCAUCGCACUCAGCAAGAAUCCCGUCUUCCAUGAUCGCAGUAAGCACAUUGAUGUUCGUUAUCAUUACAUUCGUGAGUGUGUUGAGGAAGACAGGGUGAAACUCCAGUCCAUCGGGACGGAGGAGCAGCUGGCGGACAUUCUUACCAAAGCACUGGGGCGUGAACGCUUUUGCGAGUUACGUUCCAGAAUUGGUGUCGUUUGUGUACAGGGACUACACAAGGAUUAGGAGGAGAAUUUGUUAGUAAUCCUUUUGUAGUCUGUUACAUAGCAUAGCAUGUUUGUUAUUCUGUUCUGCAUGCACACGAGGGCCGGCUUGUGGUGCCCGUGUGCGUAGGAGGUAGUGGACGAGAUUAGCUCGCCAUGAACCUGAGCAUGCAAGCCAUGGCCGGCUGUUACGGCGCAUGGGGAUGGACGUGCGCAUCCUGCGUGAUCGUGCGGCCGUGGCUUGUGCUGCUCUGCUUUGUAAUUCCAAUAAAUAAGAGUCGAAUACAUCAGAAAACGCUGCCGCGAUUUGCAGCACAAAAACUCUGUGUUCCAGUGUUCGUGUGUGUUCUUGUUCCCUCACCUCUGCUCGUGUCCUCGCCGCCGGUGUGCACCGACGUCCGGUGACUGACAGAUUCAACCAGAGAUUCUUGCGGGUCCUUCAGCUCUUGCAAUUUUGAGGUGAAUUCCAUUUUUCUUAUCUGUUGGGCAGAGCAUGAGCACACCCCACCCUUGGAUCAUAACCAUAAUUUUCAGCAACAAAGAUUAUAUAUUUUACAUCCUUCCAACCUACAUUCCGAAAGCACAUGCAAUUUCUCAGUUUCCAGAUCCCCAACGUGGCAGUAGCCAAAAAAAAAGUUAACAAAAGUAAACUUCUUAUCACUUCGCCAAGUUGUCCAGGCCCCAGACAAGAAAUCCUGUCCACGAGGUCUAGCAAAACCGAGGAGAUAAAGCUCCAAAUCUGCUUAUCAGCUAGCAGUUGAAGAACAAAUGGUGAACAGACUCUCUUUCACAACAAAACAGGAUAAAAUGAUCCUUUUAUUAUCUCCCUUCCUCUCACCCCAGGUUAUCCCCAGUUAGCAGUUAGGAGGUUGUUGUUACCAAACAGCCAGAGUAAAAAGUGAACUCUGAGAGGUUUUUAAGCUGUCAAACUGCAGGAACUGGAACGGAAUAAGUUUCAAAUUGAUCACCCUCUAUAAUGGUUGGGAAGAAUAGAGAUCACUAGAUUCAAAUUGCCAUACUAAUGCAUCUUCUGAUCAUAAGAAUCUGUCAGUUCGGUUAUAUACUCG